rnacentral:rRNA from 1 species
GAUGAACGCUGGCGGCGUGCCUAAUGCAUGCAAGUCGAGCGAACAGACGAGGAGCUUGCUCCUCUGACGUUAGCGGCGGACGGGUGAGUAACACGUGGAUAACCUACCUAUAAGACUGGGAUAACUUCGGGAAACCGGAGCUAAUACCGGAUAAUAUAUUGAACCGCAUGGUUCAAUAGUGAAAGACGGUUUUGCUGUCACUUAUAGAUGGAUCCGCGCCGCAUUAGCUAGUUGGUAAGGUAACGGCUUACCAAGGCAACGAUGCGUAGCCGACCUGAGAGGGUGGUCGGCCACACUGGAACUGAGACACGGUCCAGACUCCUACGGGAGGCAGCAGUAGGGAAUCGUCCGCAAAGGGCGAAAGCCUGACGGAGCAACGCCGCGUGAGUGAUGAAGGUCUUCGGAUCGUAAAACUCUGUUAUUAGGGAAGAACAAAUGUGUAAGUAACUAUGCACGUCUUGACGGUACCUAAUCAGAAAGCCACGGCUAACUACGUG